GGCUGGUCCGAAGGUAGUCAGUUAUCUCACUUGAUUGUUCAAGUCAGUUACAGAUUGAACUCCUUUUUCUACUUCCCUUCUCACUACUGCAACUUGACUAGUCUUUC
rnacentral:Y_RNA from 1 species